rnacentral:rRNA from 1 species
AAAGACCCCGUGAACCUUUACUAUAGCUUGACACUGAACAUUGAGCCUUGAUGUGUAGGAUAGGUGGGAGGCUUUGAAGUGUGGACGCCAGUCUGCAUGGAGCCGACCUUGAAAUACCACCCUUUAAUGUUUGAUGUUCUAACGUGGAUCCGUGAUCCGGGUUGCGGACAGUGUCUGGUGGGUAGUUUGACUGGGGCGGUCUCCUCCUAAAGAGUAACGGAGGAGCACGAAGGUUGGCUAAUCCUGGUCGGACAUCAGGAGGUUAGUGCAAUGGCAUAAGCCAGCUUGACUGCGAGCGUGACGGCGCGAGCAGGUGCGAAAGCAGGUCAUAGUGAUCCGGUGGUUCUGAAUGGAAGGGCCAUCGCUCAACGGAUAAAAGGUACUCCGGGGAUAACAGGCUGAUACCGCCCAAGAGUUCAUAUCGACGGCGGUGUUUGGCACCUCGAUGUCGGCUCAUCACAUCCUGGGGCUGAAGUAGGUCCCAAGGGUAUGGCUGUUCGCCAUUUAAAGUGGUACGCGAGCUGGGUUUAGAACGUCGUGAGACAGUUCGGUCCCUAUCUGCCGUGGGCGCUGGAGAACUGAGGGGGGCUGCUCCUAGUACGAGAGGACCGGAGUGGACGCAUCACUGGUGUUCGGGUUGUCAUGCCAAUGGCACUGCCCGGUAGCUAAAUGCGGAAGAGAUAAGUGCUGAAAGCAUCUAAGCACGAAACUUGCCCCGAGAUGAGUUCUCCCUGAGACUUUAAGUCUCCUGAAGGAACGUUGAAGACGACGACGUUGAUAGGCCGGGUGUGUAAGCGCAGCGAUGCGUUGAGCUAACCGGUACUAAUGAACCGUGAGGCUUAACCUUACAACGCCGAAG